GAUGAACGCUGGCGGCGUGCCUAAUACAUGCAGGUCGAGCGAACAGAUAAGGAGCUUGCUCCUUUGACGUUAGCGGCGGACGGGUGAGUAACACGUGGGUAACCUACCUAUAAGACUGGGAUAACUUCGGGAAACCGGAGCUAAUACCGGAUAACAUUUGGAACCGCAUGGUUCUAAAGUGAAAGAUGGUUUUGCUAUCACUUAUAGAUGGACCCGCGCCGUAUUAGCUAGUUGGUAAGGUAACGGCUUACCAAGGCAACGAUACGUAGCCGACCUGAGAGGGUGAUCGGCCACACUGGAACUGAGACACGGUCCAGACUCCUACGGGAGGCAGCAGUAGGGAAUCUUCCGCAAUGGGCGAAAGCCUGACGGAGCAACGCCGCGUGAGUGAUGAAGGGUUUCGGCUCGUAAAACUCUGUUAUUAGGGAAGAACAAAUGUGUAAGUAACUGUGCACGUCUUGACGGUACCUAAUCAGAAAGCCACGGCUAACUACGUG
rnacentral:rRNA from 1 species